CUAAAUCUACUCUAAAUAAGCUCAAAUCUGAAACAUAACCUUCAAAUAUUAUCAAGAACAAACUUCAAUCAUCCAUUUGUUAAAACAACAAUAAUUCUAACGAACUUAUUUUGCAAUUAAGAAAAAGAGACGAAGAAAAGGAAGAAGAAACCCUAAGCAAUAAUUAAAUAAAGCGCCACAAUAAUUCACCAUUGUAAAACAUCUUAAACUACCUUAAAAUAUUUUCACAAAUAGCAUAUAAAAUCACAGUCACCCGAAGAAGCGGAAAAAGAAAAAAAAAGGUCUGAAGUUGUUUAAAUUUUGUGUACUAGUUUUAUAAAAGGUAGGUACAAAUUAAAUGGGGCGACAAAAUAGCUCACAUACGCUCCUCUCUCUAUUCUCCUCUAUUUUCUCACAGAAUGGACUUGGAUAAGAAAGGAAAUACAUUAGUAGAUUGGAUUUCGGAUUUGAAUUGUGUAGAUGGCACUUAUACUUGUGCCACUUUGUCAUGUCAGUCCCCAAACUUAGUAUUUUUCCAAUUGAAUACUUACACUCAUUCAAAUCAUGUAUAAUAAACACUUAUGACAGGAGGGUGUUAUGAAUGUAAUACAACCUCCUACACGUAGGAUGCCACGUCAUUACUAGUGUCACAUAGGAAAAUAAACUAUUGACUUUAUCUUCAUUUUUUCCUUACUCUACCAUCUCUUCUCCUUACCACCAACAGCUCCACUGUUAUCGCCGGAAAAUUCAUCCGAUCACCGGAGAACACCAUUAAAAAUCUUGUAGCGUUCAUUCAAUUCUUAGAGUCUUGUAGUGUUCUAAUGAAUUAACG
rnacentral:lncRNA from 1 species